GAGAAGCCACCGCAGUGAGAAGCCCGCGCACCGCAAGGAAGAGUAGCCUCCACUCGCCUCAACUAGAGAAAGCCUGCGCACAGCAACAAAGGCCUAACGCAGCCAAAAAUAAAUAAGUUAAUUAAUUUAGAAAAAUGAGCUGGGGUAGCAACAAGUCUCAUGCCCUCUCUGAGCCUCAAUUUCCUCUUCAGGAGAGCACUCCUAGAUGUCUUUCUUUCUUACCCACCUGCUCCCCAUCGGGAAAGAGCUGGGGUUGGGCCACAGAUCUGAGGUUGCCUCUGGAAAGGCCUCUAAGCACCUGGGGCUCUCAUGGGCCAAGGAGAGGAGGCAGACAGGGUGCCUGCCCUCUGCCCCACCCCUCUUGCUGGAUCACGUCAGGAGCCCAGUCUCCAUGGGGAGCUACUCGCUGCCCCCAAAGGGUCUCAGCUUCAGGAAGCCCCAGGCCUUCACGCCCUGGCACUCCCAACCCCACCUAUCCCCAGCUCUUAAAGUCAGGGUGAGGUCAGGAGCCAGGGAGGGCCCUCAUCCGUCCCUGCCUGCCCACCUUGGCCCAGACUGGAGCCCAGGUGCCCCACCCUAGCAGGAGCUGUCAAAUAUAAUCAUGGGUGCCUUCAAGUGUGGCCCAGCCAUGCUCUGGGUGGGGGCUGCCUGCCUGGCCGCCAGCACCUUGUAGACAGAAGCUACCUUCAGAGCUCCCUUCAUUUUGCCUGAAACCAAGGUGGGGAGGAUCCAUCCCUGUUGCCCCGGCUUGGGGAAGUUGUGCAACCCAGGGCUCCACCCCCAGCACCCAGCCCAUGGAGGUGGAGGCAGCAGAACUGAGAAUUCACAUCCAUCUUUUUUUUUUUUUUUUUUUUUUAAUCACGCCUGGGGGCCUCGUGGGAUCUUAGUUCCCCAACCAGGGAUUGAACCCUGGGCCCUCUGCAGUGAAAGUAUUGCCAAAUCUGGCUCCCUCGGCACCAAUGCUGGAUAAAAAUAUGGAGACAGAGAAUUGGAAGAUAAGAAAUAGAGAGGCUUUUUAUUUUCUUUGCCAGGCAAAGGGAAGACACAGUAGACUAACGCCUCAAGAACUGUGCCUCCUUCUUGGGGAAUCGGAGAAGAUUUUAUAUGUGGGGCUCGCAGUCCGGGGUAUAUGAUAAGGAUCAAAAGUAGUGGAGGUCUUGCAUUUCUUUUCUUCUGCAAAUUCAUGGCCAAAGUUGGCAUCAGGUAGCUCAGCAACCGGGUCUGAUGUCCCUGAAGUUAUGGGCCCAUGACCUUCUUUCUGAAAUGAAGAGUGCUACAGGGGAGUGUAGGGGGAGAAGAAACGCCAGGUGCAAAGGCUCAUCUGUAUGGAGUCAGAGAGUAAUCAACUUUGUGAAGGACAAGUCCAGCUACAAGUGUUUGUUAGUAGUAACAGCUAAAGAAUAACCAAGAUUGCUUAACUCUUUCAGGCCUGUUUAUGUUGUUUCCCCAGCCUGUUCAUUGUUUCCUUAUUUUCCAGUUUAGCAGAAAAGUCUAAUUUCUAUUUUUGCUACAACAAAAGUGUGGAGUUCUAACCACUGGACUGCCAGGGAAUUCCCCGCAUCCAUCUUCAAUGGGUCACUUCUCAAGGGACUCUCAGAUCAGAGCUGCCAAUCAUAAGGGAGGGGAACUGGGUAGCUCUGGGUGGUAGUAAGCACGGGUAGGGGUGGAGGAGAAACUGGGUUUUGGAGUCAGACAAGGCUGGGCUUGAACCUGCUGCUGGCCUGGUGACCUCUCUGAGCUGGCACGUCCCCAUCUGCAAGACGUAGCUAAUAACACACCCAUCUUUUUUUUUUUUUUAACACACCCAUCUUGCAGGGCUGCGGUGAAUCUGUAACACGGUAACUCCUGUGAAGCGCCUGGUGCUCAGAAGUGUUCAUUGUUAUUAAGGAAAGAAGGCCUUUAAUUUUGGAUAUUGAGACUUAGAUUAAUGAGAAUUACCUGGUUGAUAUGUGCUUUAUAGCACGUUCAGGUAUCUUAUCAGAGUCCCAUCCUGGAGAUGAGAAAACUGAGAGUCACAACUGCCCCAAGGUCACAAAGCUGGUGAAGGAUGGAGGGAUUGGAACCCAGGCCUCCUGCCUCUCUAUCCGGCAGGGGGGAGACUUCCCAGGCAGUCCAGGGAGGGCCGUGGGCUGUGGCUUGCAGGCCCAGGGUGAGGUGUGCAGCCCAGGGUUACCUGUGGGACGGGGAGGGUUGGGCUAGCCUCUCUGGGUUCACUUCCAGCCCUGACCAAGCACCCUUCCUCUAGGGUACUGAGCUCCCGGGGGUAGUUUUUCUGGGAUUAAGAGGACAACUCCACCUGCAGGGAUUUCCCAGAAGCCAAGGGGGUGGGGAGCAGGGGGACACUGCAGGGAUUCCUUAAUCAGAGGGGCCCGUCCCCUAUCCCUAGCCCCAGCGUCUGGGUUACUCUGCCGCAGCUCCGAGAACAGCCUCCCAGCUUCCUGGCCUGGCCCUCGCCUGAGCACUUGGCCACACUGGCCACUCCCUUGGCAGGCUUUUGCCAACUCCAGCUGCCGCAGCCCUUCCCUCCCUGGCCCAGCCUCAGAAAGUGCGAGAGCGUUCAGGCAGCUGCCCGAGCUCCCGGGAGAGGCCCGACAGCUGAUGAAGCGCCAGCCGCUGGGCCUGCUGGGAACUAAGAAUCCGGCCUCCGUGACUCAUUUUCUUCAUCUGUACGAUGAGACCAUCGAACUGGAUGUUCUCGAAGGCUCCUUCCAGCGCUGGCGAAUCAACAGUUUCUCCUCCACUCUCUACUCUCCCCCAUCCCCCACGACCCCCCAUCCCACCCAGGGAUGUGUAUAUGAAUUGGAAUUUCCUGUUUUCCUGCCUGCCUUCCAGUGUUUUUCCCUUUUCCCAAGGUAAGAGCAGAAGAGUUCAGUCUGAACCCUCCGUCUGCGGGAGGGACAGGGGCCUGGUACCCUCCCUGUCCUUCUCGGCGGGACGGGCACCAAGUAGCCAGGGAGGUGCUGAAGACAAGAGCUUCGGGCUUCCAGGCUGCCACGGGUCCUCCCCCGGGGAUCUCUCCUCUCUGUCCAGGCCUGUUUUGUAUCCCUUCUGGCGCGCCGCCAGCCAGCAGUUUUUUUUCCUCUCUCUCUGUCGCCCUCUAGGGUCUUCCUGCUGCCACCAUGCCUUUGGUCUCCACCCUCCCCCACGGUUGCUGGAACCCCUCACGCCGUAGUUGCCUCGUUCACUCCUUCACUCAUUCAACAAACAUCUCAAGGGUGCCUGUUCGGGGAAUGCAGAGAUAAGAAGGCAUGGCCUGGGCUCCAGAAGCUCACAGAUUCAGGGAGAGAGAGACCCGCCAACAAAUAACUGGAUCAAGAGCUCGAUACCCUAAAGACAGGAACAGACCUAGGGCUGGAGAAAUCCAGAGGCGGGAGUGGCCACUGCAGCUGGGGAUCGGGAAGGCUCCUAGAAGUAGGGGGCAGCUGAGCUGGGCCUGGAACCACGAGCUCUCAGGAACCUGUGGAGGUGGAGAGGGCAUGCCUUGGGGCCGAGGGGGGCCCAGGGAGGAGGGUCCGCUGGAGUCAAGGACAGUGAUGGGAGCGGAGGUUGGAGGCUGGCGGCGGGAGAGGAUGGCAAUUCCAGGUGGAGCCGUUCGCCGUUCGGAAGGCCUUCCAAGUGCUACGAGCUGGUGGACAUGGUCAUGGGAUCCUUAUGGUGGGGAGUUCUGUUUCCUUAAUUCAAUACUGUGUCCUCAGAGCCAGGAACUGGGCAUGGCAUAUAGUAGGUGUUGAGUAAGCAUGUAUGGAAAGAGGGAGGGAAUGGUCAGAUUUGAAUUGUGGAUAUGGUGGGAUGGACUGGAGUGGGCCAGACCCAGGCAGGCCAGCUGGUGAGGAGGUGGGCCUAGGAGGGGUCGUGGUUAGAGGCCAGGAGCGGGGGUGGGGCAGAAAAGGAAGUGGCACUGCCUGGUCACCUGGUUGCAGCCUGGCUGUGGGGUGCAGAUGAGGAAGGCGGUCCAGCUGGGCAGUGAGGGAAUAGAAGGGGGGAAGGGGAAGGGGCAGCUUUGGGCUUGUGUGAAACAGGCUGAACUUCCAUGCCCACCUUGGGGUGUGUUUCAUGCCCCCACCCCCUCCAAGAGGCGGCGUCUCCAGAGCAGGGCCAAGCCUGCUUUCCCUGGAGCCCCAACCCUUACCCAGCUGGUUUUUUUUUUUUUGGCCGUGCCACAUGGCAUGCAGGAUCUUAGUUCCCCGACCAGGGAUCGAACCCGUGCCACCUGCAUCGGAAGCGUGAAGUCUUAACCACUGGACCGCCAGGGAACUCCCAGCCUGAGGCCUAGUUUUGCUGAACCUGUGCAAAGCAUUAAAGAGAUCACUGACAGUUCUUUGACCAGCUUCCUCAGAUCAGAAACAGAGCCACCGGCCAAAGGCCUCCUCAGGUGCCCCUUCCGGUCUGAGGGAAUAGAAAGUAGAGAGAGGUCAUGUGCUGACACAGCCCUAGCCUUCAGAGCACGGCACCCCCACUCUGCAGCCCAGAACAGACCAAGGACAUCUCCUGUGUCGUGGCACAUGCAGCCCAGAGCCGUGGCCAUGUCCACUGCCCUCUCAGUAGAGGUGGGUCAGGGUUCUUGACCUGUGGAGCCCUAAAGGAUUGCAGAGUGCCUGUGAGGUCUGAAGUUGCCUGCAGAUGGUGGGCGUGUGCACAUUAUUUCAAGGAAAGUGUUCCCAACUUCCAUCAGAUUCCCAAAGAGCAGCUGAUUCAAAGCAAGGUUAAAAUCUACCACUAAAAGAAAAGGAGAAGGAAGAUGAGGAGAGGAGGAAGAGGAGAGUGUGUGCAUUUGUUUAGGUCUCUAUAAAAGAAAGAAAUCCAGGGCUUCCCUGGUGGCGCAGUGGUUGAGAGUCCGCCUGUCCAUGCAGGGGACACGGGUUCGUGCCCCGGUCCGGGAAGAUCCCACAUGCCGCAGAGCGGCUGGGCCCGUGAGCCAUGGCCGCUGAGCCUACGCGUCCGGAGCCUGUGCUCCGCAACGGGAGAGGCCACAACAGUGAGAGGCCCGCGUACCGCAAAAAAAAAAAAAAGAAAGAAAGAAAUACAGUGUGAAUAGCUAUUAAAAAGUAAAAACCACGCCAAGCUCUCCCUUUCCAAUCCCCAUCCCAGCACCCAUCCGGGGCUGGACACACGGUGUUUUCUUUUAAGUGGCCACUUAUGACUCGCUCUAUGGCAGGCCCUGUGCCGGGCACUCUUAGGACAACAUCCCCUUUCGGCUUCCUCACAGUCCCGCGUGGAGCCUGGAUUCACAGCCGGCGUUGCUCUGCGCUGUGUUCCAGCAGUUCUGAACACUCCACCGCUAUGGAAGGUCCUGCACGUGGGCCUGUCCUAUCCCCUGUUCACUACUGAAGCAAGGCCGGGUGUCUGGGCGUCGGGUGGAAUGGGGGUAUGCAAAGCCCACAGGGCCUCCCGGCUAGGGAGAAGGCCUUUCUGGGUCCCUGUUUUUCUCCCCACCAAGCUGCAGGCUCCACAGGCUCACGCGUGGAGACGCGAGGUGGACGUGCUGGGUCCUGGUCCCUUGGAGUCUGAGUCCCUCUCAUUUCUCAGAGGCAAGGACCCCAGGACCCUCUGCCUUCCCCACACUCCCCAGGUACCCAAAUCCACAGAGGCCUGGUCUCACCACCUGCCAUCCGGGCACCAAGUGUUUUAUUAGAGUCCAAUUUUUAUCCGCACCGCGGAGAAGGAGGGGGAAACAGAGAGGGGGAACCCGGACCAGACCCCAGACCCCUCCCCCCACCGGAGCCCAGGGCAUCUGCCCUGUUGGGCCAAGGAAGACUUCGUGAGAUCCCUGAGGGCCCCAGGAGGAGGGGGCUGGGAGCAGCAGUAGAGGGCUGGGGGCCGCUGCUUCCCCGUCCAUGCCCCAGGCCAAGGCCCUCCGUCUAGAUUCUACCCUUUCUUUGAAGGGGUGUAGCGCCCCUCUCUGGAAGAGGAGGAGGAAGUGCUCCCUUUGGCUCCCUGCUCCCUUGGGCAGCCCCAAAGGGCACGUCACCCUAGGCCUGCUGCCAUCCGGCCCAGGUCCCAGCCACUGGGCACACCGGGGCUCCCCGAGGCCGCUCAGUCAGCCGACUGCAUUGCUCUUCCCCUCACAGGCUCCUCCUCCGUCUACCGCUUCUCCCUUCCACCUCCUGACCCGAACCCCUUUUGAUCUCAGGGUCAGAUGCAGCUGUGGUCUGUAUAUCCCACCUCUCGUCAUGCAGAAGGCCUGGCUGGUGUGGCCUCGGCCCAGGGCACGGGGCGAGGGCUGGAAGGGAGAGCCUGGGCUGGAGAGGUGCGACCAAGGGUGAGCUCCCUGGACCCUCAGGCUGGGGCUUAGGGGCCCACCCAGUCUGGGCACUCCUGGGCCAGGGGAGGCAUCUGGGGAGGCUCUGGGGCCAGCCUCCAACCCUCAGCCAGGGUCCUCCUGCAGCCGGCUCGAAGGAAGUGGUUCCUCAGCCUGGAUGGUGGUGCACCAAGGUCAGGCCAUUCUUCCUCCUGUCUAACUUAGCUCCGGCUUGCUGUCCCAUCUCCGUGUCCGCCCAGGGGUAGAGAGGAGCUGAGGGUCCUGUGGAGUGGCAGGGGAGGCUCCCAGGUCUGGCACCGUCAAAGGUGUCCCUGGGUCCACUGAGCUGAGGUCCCCAGCCUGGCGAGCUGGCCUCAAGCAGGAAGCGGGGCAGGGUGGUCCCUGUGUUCGAAACGGCUCUUGUUCCCUGGCCGUGGUGGGCGAGCGGGAGGUGAGGGCGGGGGCCCCCUAGAAGCAGCAGAAUCCAGAUCCUCUUUGUCUUCAGGGCCCCUGCCCUCAAGGUCUUCCGUGGACCCGGGACCUCCUUGUAGCAGUGGGGUGCAGGCCCCCUGCAGCUCCCGGGUCCUGACCCCUCGCCUCUCCCUGUGCCAGGGGGCACGAAACUGGGUCUGCUGGGCUCAGAAGCCCCCGCUCUCUGAGCUGCUCCGGCUGUGGUAGCUGGGACUGGGGGUCCUGGAAGGGCUGCGAGUGCGGCUGCGGGUCCGACUGCGGCUGCUGUAGCUUCCAUGGCUGUGGCCAGGGCUGGGGCUCCGGCUUGAGUAGUCGCUGCUCAGGCAGCUGGAGGAGGACGAGGGGCUGGGCCGGUAGUAGGGGAUGGGACGCUUUCGGGCACUGCCGGGAGGGAAGAGCUGAUUACAGGCCAGCCAAGGCCCUGAUCUGUGCCAGUCCUGGGCCCUCACUCAGGCCCUGAGCCCCUCCCCAGCAGUGGCCAGGGCUUCCCUGCCUCAGUUUCCCCUGAGCCUUGACCUUGGAAUUCUCCCCACCUCCACCCCUGCCCCAGCAAGACUGGACAUGCAGUGGUCCAAUUUCAUGUUGAUCACUUUGUUUUUCCUCACUUGUCUGCAGGGAAAGGGGACCAAGUCUCUGCUUGACCGGAGUAGGUGCUCAAUAAAAAUCUGUUGAGUAAAUGCAACUUUUAAGCCAA